GCUGGUGUGAUUUACAUCCCUUCAUAAAUCUUCCCCAAAAAAACAUCAGCACCUUCUCAGGCUGCCAUCUGUUUAUUUGGUUGGACUUGGAACUUGCUGAAAUGUCUUUCGAUGGAUGAAGCAACGGAGAGUAGAAGAACAGAGCCUGGCAGGCUGCUUGCUGUGCCAGGGAACCACCAAGCUUCCUGGUACCCCGUGUUGGCUGAGAGGCAAUGAGGUUAAGGAAAGCAUAACUUCCAUCAGGAAUUCUUGUAAAGGGCAAAACAAAACAGAUCAUUUCCUCGGUUUAAUGUGAGCCAAUUAUGGCUCAUGGGCUGUUAACUUCAUCACCGCUCCUUCCAAGAAAGACGUUGGGUAAAAUGAACCAGCGCGGCUCCGCGUGCGCCCAGCGCAGCCUCAGCCCCGGCCAUUUAUCCCCACGGAUGGAAAAAAGCUAAAGCCUACGUCGCACAAAUGCCCUCUAAAAAAAUCUCCUGGAUGGAAUCUGGAGAUCUGAAGACAUAUUUCUGCUCUCCUGGCCACCUAUGAACAGGAUGAUGGCGUUACAGCUGCCUGCGCAUCCUUGGGUGGAUCUUCAGUGUUCCUGAGCAGAUUUCACCUGUACUAUUGGUCCCGGACAGAGACAGCAAAAUGCUGAGUGCUAUCCCAGACCUUCCUGGGCAGAGAGCAGCAUCCAUUGCACAAGAGGCACCUUCAGUCUGUGCAUUCCCUGCUGGGAUGGGGCUGUGCAGUGCUGGUUGAACUGGUUUAAAUAAAGGUUUUGAGCGUAUCCGUGGCUUUAUCUUCCAAAUGCAGCCAAACUCAAACUGAACUUUCCUUGCUGGUUGGAGGAAAUGUGCUUAACUGUAAACCCCAAAUGCAAUAUGAUUUUUAUU
rnacentral:lncRNA from 7 species